rnacentral:tRNA from 1 species
UUCCUGUUCGUAUAACGGCUAGUAUGCUCGCUUGUCAUGUAUAAUCGCGGGAGAUCGGAGUUCGAUUCUCCGACAGGAAG